UGACACUUAAUGUCCUCGUUCCAUAUCGAGAAUAUAAACGAAUACGAACAACAUUUGACUCAUAAUGAUUCUGAGAAUUUUAACUUUAACACGGACCUCUUAAAGAUGUUUGUUUCAUGUAACAUACCUUUUUCCACCGUGGAGAACCCCAAUUUCUCAAAGUUUAUGAAGAAAUAUGCCGAUAGAACCGUCCUUAGUAGAAGAACUCUACAUAGAUUAAUGGAGGUUGUGAGAAAGGAUGUAAUCUCCAAAAUUAAAGAAAUCAUUGGCUAUAAGGAUAUCUUCAUAGCUGUUGAUGAGACUAAAAACAACCCAGGACUAUCAAUGGCAACUUUCUUGAUGGGUCUUUUGAAUGGCCGUUUCUUGGGUCGUCCUUAUCUAAUCAAUAUGAUAGACAUAAAUGUUGUCAAUGCUAUGAAUUUUUGCAAAUUUUGUUGUUCAUAGUAUACAACAAACUCUUGAUUUGGACUUUGAUGAAAGUAGUUUAAAAGUUUUAAUCACGGAUGGAGCGUCCUAUUGUAAAAAAGCGGGGGAAUACCUAAAAAAAAAGCUACCUCCAAUUGAAACAUAUUACUUGUGUAGCUCAUGGACUCUAUUCAAAAUCAAAUUAAAUACAUUUUUAGAUGAAAAUCCAGCGUUCAACGAUUUGCGAGACCUAGAAAAUUCUGAGAAGAUAAUUUACAGAAAUACACAUAUUGUAAAUUAUAACUUAAACAGGAUUUUCAGCAUGUAGAGAGCAAUUCAUACCAAAAUAAGGUCGUGUUUAUCGGUAAAUAGUGUCAAGAAUAUGUUAAUUAUAAAAUGGAAUAAUUAAAUAUUAGAUUCACAAGAUAAUAUAAUCAAGAACAACUGCUUAAAUGGUCUCAAAGGGACCUUAACUUGAAAUGGCGUGCUAGGAGUUUGUCUAACCUCAGUUUCUUUCGGUAAAGACUUGGAAUUAUCAUAUGUGGACAAUGUUCAUAAUCUCCGGGAUAAGGUGUUAAGAAACUACCUUAAUAUGGACAAGAACAACUUCCUGAAUGGUCUCAAAGGGCUUUAAAUUUGAAAAAAUUGAAAUAUAAUAGUAAAAGACAGAUUUUAUUUAUAUUAAUAAUUAAUUAGUAAAUUCAUGUCCGUAUAAAAAUGAUAUAUUUUCGCAUAUAUAUAAUUUACAUUUGUUGCUAAUAAUUUGUUGAAUCCAUUUGUAAUAUUUACAAUUAAUAACUUUAAUUUCGCAUAAAUUUGUCAUUAUUAAUUUGUUUGACUUUCUGUGUAUAACUACUAUUAAAAUUUAUGAUUAAUAUUUCUUGC
rnacentral:lncRNA from 1 species